CGGAUAUUCCAUACUACAUGGAUAACUGUGGUAAUUCUAGAGCUAAUACGUGAAUCAAAGCUCCAACCACGGCUUUGGCUCGGGGUAUGGCAACAUGCUCUCCAAAGUUUGUCGGAAGGAGUGCAUUUAUUAGUCCAAGACCAAUGAUCCUUAAUCACCCAGGACACUCUCCAGUAUACGGCUAGUGUGUACAAGUUUCACGACUUGCAACUACUAGUGUCGGUCUGGAUGUAAGACCUGGCAGUGGGGAUCUGAGUAUAGCUGUGUCACUCCGUGUGUCACACUAUACGCUACUUGGUAUGGUGACUCUGAAUAACUGAGCAAAUCGUAUGGCCACUGUGCCGACGAUGUAUCCCUCAAGCAACUGCCUUAUCAACUUUCGAUGGUAGGUUAUGCGCCUACCAUGGUUGUAACGGGUAACGGGGAAUCAGGGUUCGAUUCCGGAGAGGGAGCCUGAGAAACGGCUACCACAUCCAAGGAAGGCAGCAGGCGCGCAAAUUACCCACUCCCGGCACGGGGAGGUAGUGACGAAAAAUAACAAUAUGGAACUCUUUUGGGUCUCCAUAAUUGGAAUGAGUACAAUUUAAAUCCUUUAACGAGGAUCUAUUGGAGGGCAAGUCUGGUGCCAGCAGCCGCGGUAAUUCCAGCUCCAAUAGCGUAUAUUAAAGUUGUUGCGGUUAAAAAGCUCGUAGUUGGAUUUCAGUCCAACCUAUGGGGUCCACUGAAAAAGGGUACCAUCAGUCAACUGUUGCAGUGUACAUGUGUGUAGCCAUCCUUCACGGGAUUGGGUGCCACAUUGCGCUGUAUACAGUCUGGUGUACCUGGUGGUUACUACCAUAGUUGUUGAACACAAUCGUGCCCGAUUUUUGCUUCUAAUGCUCUUAAGUGAGUGUUAGUUCAAGCAAUCGGGACUUUUACCUUGAAAAAAUUAGAGUGCUCAAAGCAGGCGUACAAACCCUCGCAAGAGGUGCCUAUAACGGGUAUGUGCAGCUAUUUAACUCUCCAUCUUCGGAUGUGAGGUAUGCAAUAGUCCUGUCACAUUCCUUACCUUGAAUAAUCUUGCAUGGAAUAAUGGAAUAGGACCUCGGUUCUAUUUUGUUGGUCUUCGGAAUCUGAGGUAAUGAUUAAGAGGGACAGACGGGGGCAUUCGUAUUGCGACGCUAGAGGUGAAAUUCUUGGACCGUCGCAAGACGAACUACAGCGAAAGCAUUUGCCAAGAAUGUUUUCAUUAAUCAAGAACGAAAGUUAGAGGUUCGAAGGCGAUCAGAUACCGCCCUAGUUCUAACCAUAAACGAUGCCAACCAGCGAUCAGCCUGAGUUUUUUCUUAAUGACUCGGCUGGCAGCUUCCGGGAAACCAAAGUUUUUGGGUUCCGGGGGAAGUAUGGUUGCAAAGCUGAAACUUAAAGGAAUUGACGGAAGGGCACCACCAGGAGUGGAGCCUGCGGCUUAAUUUGACUCAACACGGGAAAACUCACCCGGCCCGGACACUGAGAGGAUUGACAGAUUGAGAGCUCUUUCUUGAUUCAGUGGAUGGUGGUGCAUGGCCGUUCUUAGUUGGUGGAGCGAUUUGUCUGGUUAAUUCCGAUAACGAACGAGACUCUAGCCUACUAAAUAGACCCACAAUUUUCACUGGUAGUAUCACCUACUCGGGUGGCCAUAGGGACGGCCAGUGUGCACUGCAUACUGCUUCACGGUGGUGUGUAGUGUGUGCUGGUUGUUAUUCAACUUAUGGUGUCUCCGGGAUAGGUUGCUCCAGCAUUGUGGGGACUUCUUAGAGGGACAAGCGGCGUCCGCAGCCGCACGAAACAGAGCAAUAACAGGUCUGUGAUGCCCUUAGAUGUCCGGGGCCGCACGCGCGCUACACUGAAGUGGCCACCGUGCUUUGCAAAUCCUGCUCCGAAAGGAGUGGGUAACCGCCUCAACCCAUUUCGUGAUUAGGGAUUGGGCAUUGUAAUUAUUGCCCAUGAACGAGGAAUUCCCAGUAAGCGUGAGUCAUUAGCUUGCGUUGAUUACG
rnacentral:rRNA from 1 species